rnacentral:rRNA from 1 species
GGGGGAUAUUGCGCAAUGGGGGCAACCCUGACGCAGCAACGCCGCGUGAAGGAUGAAGGUUUUCGGAUUGUAAACUUCUUUUAUUAAGGACGAAACUUGACGGUACUUAAUGAAUAAGCUCCGGCUAACUACGUGCCAGCAGCCGCGGUAAUACGUAGGGAGCAAGCGUUGUCCGGAUUUACUGGGUGUAAAGGGUGCGUAGGCGGCUUUGCAAGUCAGAUGUGAAAUCUAUGGGCUCAACCCAUAAACUGCAUUUGAAACUGUAGAGCUUGAGUGAAGUAGAGGCAGGCGGAAUUCCCCGUGUAGCGGUGAAAUGCGUAGAGAUGGGGAGGAACACCAGUGGCGAAGGCGGCCUGCUGGGCUUUAACUGACGCUGAGGCACGAAAGCGUGGGUAGCAAACAGGAUUAGAUACCCUGGUAGUCCACGCUGUAAACGAUGAUUACUAGGUGUGGGGGGUCUGACCCCUUCCGUGCCGGAGUUAACACAAUAAGUAAUCCACCUGGGGAGUACGGCCGCAAGGUUGAAACUCAAAGGAAUUGACGGGGGCCCGCACAAGCAGUGGAGUAUGUAGUUUAAUUCGAAGCAACGCGAAGAACCUUACCAGGUCUUGACAUCCAACUAACGAAGUAGAGAUACAUUAGGUGCCCUUCGGGGAAAGUUGAGACAGGUGGUGCAUGGUUGUCGUCAGCUCGUGUCGUGAGAUGUUGGGUUAAGUCCCGCAACGAGCGCAACCCUUGCUAUUAGUUGCUACGCAAGAGCACUCUAAUAGGACUGCCGUUGACAAAACGGAGGAAGGUGGGGACGACGUCAAAUCAUCAUGCCCCUUAUGACCUGGGCUACACACGUACUACAAUGGAUGUUAACAGAGGGAAGCAAGACAGCGAUGUGGAGCAAACCCCUAAAAACAUUCUCAGUUCAGAUUGCAGGCUGCAACCCGCCUGCAUGAAGAUGGAAUUGCUAGUAAUCGCGGAUCAGCAUGCCGCGGUGAAUACGUUCCCG